rnacentral:rRNA from 1 species
CCUACGGGUGGCAGCAGUGAGGAAUAUUGGUCAAUGGGCGAGAGCCUGAACCAGCCAAGUCGCGUGAAGGAUGACGGCCCUACGGGUUGUAAACUUCUUUUGUCAGGGAGCAAUUGGGUCCACGCGUGGGCUUAGCGAGAGUACCUGAAGAAAAAGCAUCGGCUAACUCCGUGCCAGCAGCCGCGGUAAUACGGAGGAUGCGAGCGUUAUCCGGAUUUAUUGGGUUUAAAGGGUGCGCAGGCGGGCUGUUAAGCCGGCGGUAAAAAUUCAGGGCUCAACCCUGUCGAGCCGUCGGAACUGGCAGUCUUGAGUGGGCGAGAAGUAUGCGGAAUGCGUGGUGUAGCGGUGAAAUGCAUAGAUAUCACGCAGAACGCCGAUUGCGAAGGCAGCAUACCGGCGCCCAACUGACGCUGAGGCACGAAAGCGUGGGGAUCGAACAGGAUUAGAUACCCUAGUAGUC